rnacentral:lncRNA from 1 species
ACUUGUUGCUGGAGGAUCUGCUGCAUUUGCUGGGGAGUGAUCACUUGAGGUGUCAUCAUAGCCACCGACACGGGAACCUGCAGGGCCGGCUGUUUGUCAUUCCUCUUCGGAGACUUUAAUCCACUAACUUGCUGCUGCUGCUGCUGUUGUUGCUGCUGUUGCUGCUGCUGCUGCUGCUGUAGUAGAAGUUGCCGUGCCACCUGGAGAGCCUGCUGUUGCUGAAGAUGUGUUAAAUCUGCAGCCCCAAUUUCAACUGAAGGUGUCUCGCCGUUUGAUCUCACCUCCCGUAGGCUGCACUCUAGUAAGUGGUUGCCACCGCUCGCUCCAUUCUGAAUGGCUGAACCGUUACUUUUUGUCUCAGUCCCAGAUUCUUGCAUCAUGACUCAAAAACCUUCUUCUGUUGCUCCUGUAAAGCAAUCUUCAGUUACAGCCACCCAAAUAGGUCACUCUUCUUACCCAGUUUUACUUGCAGGCAUCACACAUAUCCA